UACGGAGGAUGCGAGCGUUAUCCGGAUUUAUUGGGUUUAAAGGGUGCGCAGGCGGCGUGUCAAGUCUGCGGUAAAAUGUCGGGGCUCAACCCCGGCCGGCCGUUGAAACUGGCGUGCUCGAGUUGGAGAGAAGUAUGCGGAAUUCGUGGUGUAGCGGUGAAAUGCAUAGAUAUCACGAAGAACCCCGAUUGCGAAGGCAGCAUACCGGCUCCACACUGACACUGAGGCUCGAAAGCGUGGGGAGCAAACAGG
rnacentral:rRNA from 1 species